AUGAACGCUGGCGGCGUGCCUAAUACAUGCAAGUCGAGCGGACAGACGAGGAGCUUGCUCCUCUGACGUUAGCGGCGGACGGGUGAGUAACACGUGGAUAACCUACCUAUAAGACUGGGAUAACUUCGGGAAACCGGAGCUAAUACCGGAUAAUAUAUUGAACCGCAUGGUUCAAUAGUGAAAGACGGUUUUGCUGUCACUUAUAGAUGGAUCCGCGCCGCAUUAGCUAGUUGGUAAGGUAACGGCUUACCAAGGCGACGAUGCGUAGCCGACCUGAGAGGGUGAUCGGCCACACUGGAACUGAGACACGGUCCAGACUCCUACGGGAGGCAGCAGUAGGGAAUCUUCCGCAAAGGGCGAAAGCCUGACGGAGCAACGCCGCGUGAGUGAUGAAGGUCUUCGGAUCGUAAAACUCUGUUAUUAGGGAAGAACAAAUGUGUAAGUAACUAUGCACGUCUUGACGGUACCUAAUCAGAAAGCCACGGCUAACUACGUG
rnacentral:rRNA from 1 species